rnacentral:rRNA from 1 species
UACGUAGGGUGCAAGCGUUAAUCGGAAUUACUGGGCGUAAAGCGUGCGCAGGCGGCUUUGCAAGACAGAUGUGAAAUCCCCGGGCUUAACCUGGGAACUGCAUUUGUGACUGCAUGGCUGGAGUGCGGCAGAGGGGGAUGGAAUUCCACGUGUAGCAGUGAAAUGCGUAGAGAUGUGGAGGAAUACCGAUGGCGAAGGCAGCCUCCUGGGCCAACACUGACGCUCAUGCACGAAAGCGUGGGGAGCAAACAGG